UACGAGAGGUGCGAGCGUUAUUCGGAAUUACUGGGCGUAAAGGGUGCGUAGACGGUUCAUUAAGUCUUUUGUUUAAGACCUCGGCCUAACUGAGGAGCAGCAGGAGAUACUGAUAGACUAGAGGAUGGAAGAGAGAAGUGGAAUUAUCGGAGUAGCGGUUAAAUGCGUAGAUCUCGAUAGGAACACCGAUGGCGAAAGCAGCUUCUUGGUCCAUAUCUGACGUUGAUGCACGAAAGCGUGGGGAGCAAACAGG
rnacentral:rRNA from 1 species